UUUCUUUAUGAAUGUUUGAGACAGCAACAUAGAUGAAAAAGGAACUCACCAUAUUUCAGAGGCAUUAAUAAAAGUCUAUUUCAGUUCUUUCGGACGGAUUACAUAAUAAAUUUACACAUGUUAUAAUGAGAUCAAUAAAGAGAUUUGGAAAUGGAGGAUUGUCCAUGCCACC